CAAUAGCGUAUAUUUAAGUUGUUGCAGUUAAAAAGCUCGUAGUUGGAUUUCGGGUAGGAUUUGCCGGUCCGUCUUUGAGAUGUGUACUGGUAAGUCCUAUCUUCUUGUCGGGGACCAGCUCCCGGGCUUCACUGUCCGGGACUGGGAGCCGACGAAGUUACUUUGAGUAAAUUAGAGUGUUCAAAGCAAGCCUACGCUCUGAAUAUAUUAGCAUGGAAUAACGCGAUAGGACUCUGGCUUAUCUUGUUGGUCUGUGAGACCAGAGUAAUGAUUAAGAGGGACAGUCGGGGACAUUCGUAUUUCAUUGUCAGAGGUGAAAUUCUUGGAUUUAUGAAAGACGAACUUCUGCGAAAGCAUUUGUCAAGGAUGUUUUCAUUAA
rnacentral:rRNA from 1 species